GUCGAGAAUCUUCCGCAAUGGGCGCAAGCCUGACGGAGCAAUGCCGCGUGAGGGAUGAAGAUCUUCGGAUUGUAAACCUCUGUCACCCGGGACGAAGCAAGUGACGGUACCGGGAGAGGAAGCACCGGCUAACUACGUGCCAGCAGCCGCGGUAAUACGUAGGGUGCGAGCGUUAUUCGGAUUCACUGGGCGUAAAGGGUCCGUAGGGGGCUUGCCAAGUCUGGUGUGAAAGCCCAUGGCUCAACCAUGGAAGGGCACUGGAUACUGGCGAGCUAGAGUGCACGAUGGGUGAGCAGAACUCCUGGUGUAGCGGUGGAAUGCGUAGAUAUCAGGAAGAAUACCGAUGGCGAAGGCGGCUCACUGGCGUGCUACUGACCCUGAGGGACGAAAGCGUGGGUAGCAAACAGGAUUAGAAACCCCGGUAGUCC
rnacentral:rRNA from 1 species